CGGCACAGUAGAGAUGUCACACCAGUGCAGCUGUAUUUACUUUUAGAGAACAAUCUAGAAGGUGCAGAAAAGGUUUGGGAUAACAGAAGACUUCCAAAUGAUAUGAAAGUAUAAACUACUCCAUCCUCCUCUAUAGUGUGUAGCAGUGGCAUGUGGGUCUGUAUCACUGUGAAAUGCUGAAGACUUUAACUAUAGCAUUAACCAUCAGGACACGAGUCCACACGCAAGAAUUUGAACAAGGUGAAUCCGAAAGCUCAGAGGUCACAGUGAUGUAUUUUUGGCCCUUCAUAGCAGGAGGAGCAACUAUUAUUAUUUUUCUUCUUGUGGUCAUGACAUGUUGCAUUGUGUAUAAACGAAAAAGUAAGUAUAUCAGAUCAAUUCUGAAUAAAUUCUAAAUAUGCAAGGUUUGCAUGCUCAGUAAAGUAACUUAAUUUCUUUCUUUCAGAAACAUCAGAUCAACCAUAUUAUGCAAACAGCCAGC
rnacentral:lncRNA from 1 species